UACGUAGGUGGCAAGCGUUGUCCGGAAUUAUUGGGCGUAAAGCGCGCGCAGGCGGCCUCUUAAGUCUGAUGUGAAAGCCCCCGGCUCAACCGGGGAGGGCCAUUGGAAACUGGGAGGCUUGAGUAUAGGAGAGAAGAGUGGAAUUCCACGUGUAGCGGUGAAAUGGCGUAGAGAGUGUGGAGGAACACCAGUGGCGAAGGCGACUCUUUGGCCU
rnacentral:rRNA from 1 species